rnacentral:rRNA from 1 species
UAAACUAGGAUUAGAUACCCUAUUAUUUAAGAAAUUUAUAUUGUUAGUAAAUAUAGAUUACGAAAACAUAAAAUUAUGGCGGUACUUUAAGCUUUUCAGAGGAAUUUGCUCUUUAAUGGAUAAAACACCUUAAUCUUACUGGGAUUGGUAAAGGCAGUUUGUAUACCACUAUAAAAGUAGUUAGUUACUGUUAUUACUUUAAAUUUUAAACAAAAAAUAAAUUAAGUCAUGGUGCAGCAAAAAUUUCAGGAUGAAGUGAAUUACAUUACUUUUAAGUAUUUAAAUUAAUUAAAUAAAAUUUUAGGAUUUGUAAGUAAAAAUUUAAUAGAAUGAAAUUUUGAAUAAAGCUCUAAAGUAUGUACAUAUC